AUUGAACGCUGGCGGCAUGCUUUACACAUGCAAGUCGAACGGUAACAGGCCGCAAGGUGCUGACGAGUGGCGAACGGGUGAGUAAUGCAUCGGAACGUGCCCAGUCGUGGGGGAUAACUACUCGAAAGAGUAGCUAAUACCGCAUACGAUCUAUGGAUGAAAGCGGGGGACCGUAAGGCCUCGCGCGAUUGGAGCGGCCGAUGUCAGAUUAGGUAGUUGGUGGGGUAAAGGCUCACCAAGCCAACGAUCUGUAGCUGGUCUGAGAGGACAACCAGCCACACUGGGACUGAGACACGGCCCAGACUCCUACGGGAGGCAGCAGUGGGGAAUUUUGGACAAUGGCGCAAGCCUGAUCCAGCAAUGCCGCGUGCAGGAAGAAGGCCUUCGGGUUGUAAACUGCUUUUGUACGGAACGAAACGGCUCUGGUUAAUACCCGGGGCUAAUGACGGUACCGUAAGAAUAAGCACCGGCUAACUACGUG
rnacentral:rRNA from 1 species